rnacentral:rRNA from 1 species
GACGAACGCUGGCGGCGUGCUUAACACAUGCAAGUCGAACGGAAAGGCCCCUUUGGGGGUACUCGAGUGGCGAACGGGUGAGUAACACGUGAGUAACCUGCCCUUGACUUCGGGAUAACUUCAGGAAACUGGGGCUAAUACCGGAUAGGAAUCCUUGCUGCAUGGUGGGGGUUGGAAAGCUUCGGCGGUUUUGGAUGGACUCGCGGCUUAUCAGCUUGUUGGUGGGGUAGUGGCUUAUCAAGGCUUUGACGGGUAGCCGGCCUGAGAGGGCGACCGGCCACAUUGGGACUGAGAGACGGCCCAGACUCCUACGGGAGGCAGCAGUGGGGAAUAUUGCACAAUGGGCGGAAGCCGGAUGCAGCAACGCCGCGUGCGGGAUGACGGCCUUCGGGUUGUAAACCGCUUUCAGCAGGGGCGAAGCUUGUGGUGACGGUACCUGCAGAAGAAGCACCGGCUAACUACGUG